UCAGCACAAACCCAAUAUACCCUCCCCACUAAAGUGGUGUAGGGUAUAACAAAUAAAAGUUCGUGUUACUGGAUUUUCACCAGCAGUACACAGAUUUGUGCUUAAAGUAAAUCGAACACCUACAAAAAUAUUUGGCUGUUGGGGCAAAAAGAAAAAUUGACAUCUAACUUAACUAUUAACACGGGUUACACCUCUAUAAUUUUCCCUUUCCGGAGAAGAUACUUAACAUCCACAUCUGGCAUUUCUCCCUGAAAUUCUUUUAAGGAUAAAAGAUUCAGAGAUCGUGUAAUAUCUCUUUACCGAGUAAACGCAGCUAUUUUACGGGAAGUACUUAUUGUGUUUAAUCAAUAAUAUGAAUAUUUACUUUGUGAUAUUUUCUGUUUCCAUUUCAGAUUUCCUAUUAAUAAAGUGGACAAGUUAUCAAAUACAACACAGAUUCUACAUCUUUAUUGCACUCAAGUAUAUCUUAUCCUAAACACGAAUAUUACUACAUACAUACAUACUACAAGCAAUCUGGAAGGGAACCCACAUUGUGUCACAUGCGAAAUGUACUUCUGACAUAUUAAACAAAUGGUCACAAGUAGAUAAGGAAUUCAAUUAUAUCCAAAAACAGUGUGUGAAAAUUUCUCCUUAAAAAUUGACUCCGUGUUUGCAGAUAGCAUAAAGGAACAAUGUUGUAAACAUUUAUCCCAAAAUAUGAAGUAUAUAGGUAGGAAUCGAACCCACCACCUCCGGUCUAACAGACUAGAACACUAACCUACCGGAGGCCAAUGUGUGCGUGAAAAUGGUCGUUGUAUUGGUAUUUUUUUACCUUAUUUUACUGUCAACCUUUUACAACCGUCUUUUUAUACCGUCAACAAGAACGUGUACAAGAUUUAUCAUACGAGACUUUCGACGAAGAAUUAUUAUUGAUGUCUUAUGUGGGGGAUUGCUAGAUCCUCUAUCGGGACCCUCCCAUUGGCGAAUUGGGGACCUUCGACCUGUUUGUAAAAAUAAGUCGGAUACCGGGGAAAUAAAAUACCUGGGGUGACCAAAAUCUAGCCUAAGGUACUGCAGCCGGUACCUUAUAGUUCAUGGGACGAAACAUACAAUAAACUUAAUAAUAUAGCAAUGAGGGAAAUUGGAUGCAAACAAAAGGAAUGAAGGAAAAUAUGGAUAUCAAACGAAACCUGGAGACUUAUUCAGGAGAGAAAUGACCUGAAGAAAAACAUUAUGAAUAAUCGAUCAAUUAUGGAACAAUAUAAGGUUAUAGCAAAGGCCGUUAAAACCUCAGCUAGGAAGGACAAAAGGAAAUACUUCCAAAGCAUCGCCAGUGAAGCCGAAACUGCAGCAGGGGCAAACAACAUGCGAGAACUUCUCCAGCUAAUCGGGCGCCUGAGCAAACAGAACAUGAACCACAACCAUGUGGUGAGGGAUAGGGAAGGUAACCUCCUUACAAACGCAGAAGACCAGAUUAAGCGAUGGAGGCAACACUUUGAAACAGUCAGCAACAUUACGACCAAUGACGACGAGGAAGGUAUGGAAAUUCCUGUAACGCAAUCAUCCAAUAACAAAAUACAGUUCGAUAUUCCGGACAUAGAGGAAAUAAAAUCCGCCAUUUUAAGAUUGAAAAGGAAUAAAGCCCCAGGAGAGGAUGGCACAAAACUUGGUGCUCAACACAAAUAUCCCAGAUGACAAGUAGUAUAGCACAGAGACUGCAAGUAUUUAUAAAUAAAUGCUUACGCAUAAUAUGUAAAAUAUUCUGGCCAGACAGGAUCUCAAAUACCGACUUACUUAUGCUGACGAAAGAGGACACCAUUACACGGCAAAUAGCAAGACGAAAAUGGAAGUGUAUAGACCAUGUUCUACGUAAACCAGCCAAUAGCAUAACACGAGUGGCUCUAGAAUGGAACCCCCAGGGGAUCAGGCGCCCAGGCCGCCCUAGGAUCACAUGGCGCAGAACAAUACUAAAGGAACUCGGACAAAUCAAUAAAACUUUUGAAGAAAUUAAAACAUUAUGUAAUGAUAGAACAAGUUGGAAUUUUCUUGUAGAAGCCCUAUGUUCCCAAGUGCAAUAAAUAAAGGAAAAAAAUGUUCAACACAUUUGAUAUAAAACCUUAAAAAACGUAUUUUUUUACUCAUUACUUAAAACAUCUUUAAAAACUG